rnacentral:rRNA from 1 species
UACGGAGGGUGCAAGCGUUAUCCGGAAUUAUUGGGCGUAAAGAGCUCGUAGGCGGUUUGUCGCGUCUGCCGUGAAAGUCCGGGGCUCAACUCCGGAUCUGCGGUGGGUACGGGCAGACUAGAGUGAUGUAGGGGGAGACUGGAAUUCCUGGUGUAGCGGUGAAAUGCGCAGAUAUCAGGAGGAACACCGAUGGCGAAGGCAGGUCUCUGGGCAUUAACUGACGCUGAGGAGCGAAAAGCGUGGGGAGCGAACAGG